rnacentral:rRNA from 1 species
AGUGAACGCUGGCGGUAGGCCUAACACAUGCAAGUCGAACGGCAGCACAGUAAGAGCUUGCUCUUACGGGUGGCGAGUGGCGGACGGGUGAGGAAUACAUCGGAAUCUACUUUUUCGUGGGGGAUAACGUGGGAAACUUACGCUAAUACCGCAUACGACCUACGGGUGAAAGCAGGGGAAUUUCCGACCUUUCGCGAUUUAAUGAGCCGAUGUCGGAUUAGCUAGUUGGCGGGGUAAAGGCCCACCAAGGCGACGAUCCGUAGCUGGUCUGAGAGGAUGAUCAGCCACACUGGAACUGAGACACGGUCCAGACUCCUACGGGAGGCAGCAGUGGGGAAUAUUGGACAAUGGGCGCAAGCCUGAUCCAGCCAUACCGCGUGGGUGAAGAAGGCCUUCGGGUUGUAAAGCCCUUUUGUUGGGAAAGAAAAGCAGCAGGUUAAUACCCCGCUGUUCUGACGGUACCCAAAGAAUAAGCACCGGCUAACUUCGUG